GAGCUUGCUCUCUGGGUGACGAGCGGCGGACGGGUGAGUAAUGUCUGGGAAACUGCCUGAUGGAGGGGGAUAACUACUGGAAACGGUAGCUAAUACCGCAUAACGUCUACGGACCAAAGUGGGGGACCUUCGGGCCUCACGCCAUCAGAUGUGCCCAGAUGGGAUUAGCUAGUAGGUGGGGUAAUGGCUCACCUAGGCGACGAUCCCUAGCUGGUCUGAGAGGAUGACCAGCCACACUGKAACUGAWACMCGGUCC
rnacentral:rRNA from 1 species